GUCAUACAUUAUAUUCCAUAGCAGUGGUGCGAGCACCGACCCCUGUGGAACCCCGCUGUUUACUUCUAGUAGUUUACCAUGUUCGGUUUAGGAAGAAGAAUCAGUCGUGCUGUUUUCCAGCAAUCCGGAAAGGAUUUUCUCCUUAGACAGGAAUACCAUCUGGUCCAGUGGCUUUACCAGGUUUCAGGCGUUUGGCGGCAAUUAGUAGUUCUUCCAGUGUGAAAUUUUUUAUGGGGUUCUUUAUUGGUUCGGGCCAUACUACUUCAGGAUGGCGCGGAAACAGAUGCACUACAACGUUUUCCAGUUCAUCCUCACCGUUUCCCCAGACGUCGUCAUCAAUUGAGGCACAUAAUUCCUGCCACUUUGAAUGUUUUGAGAUUUUUAUUUCCUUUCGUAGUUUAUCCCUUGCUAUUUUUAGUGUGUUUACCUUAGUUUCUAGGUUUUGUGACAAUGUUGUUUUAGGUCGAGCUCUUGUUACAGCUCGUCUGGCUUUGAUAGAUUCUUUCCGGAGUUGGGCAAUACGAUCGUUCCACCAGUAGCAGGGUCUUCGUUUUGGUGAAAAAGAUUUCUUUAACAUCGCAGCGUUGCAUGAUUUUUCAAGACUGUCUUUUAGUUGCUCGGGCGAGUUUAUACUGCCACACUUAUUAAACCUUUUUAGGAGUUUCGCCUUAUUCAAUGAUUUUAGGUUCCACGCUGGGGGUUGGUUUGAAUUAUACUGAUGGCUAUCUGGUAAAUUUGUUUCCCAUUUGAAAGAAAUGAUUUUGUGGUCGCUGAGGGAUUCUGUAUCCAUCGUUGUCCAUCCUUGUAUGUUAUUUGCGACGUUUUGAGAUACUAGUGUUAAGUCUAUGAUUGAUUUUGAUGUACCUCUUUCAAAUGUAUAGUAGUUUGGUUUGUUUUUGGUAAUAAAGUUUAGUUCUGCAA